rnacentral:rRNA from 1 species
UACGAGAGGCCCAAACAUUAUUCGGAAUUACUGGGCUUAAAGAGUUCGUAGGCGGCAUGAAAAGUAGGGUGUGAAAUCCCUCGGCUCAACCGAGGAAUUGCGCUCUAAACUGUCGUGCUAGAGGAAGCUAGAGGUGAGCGGAACUGAUGGUGGAGCGGUGAAAUGCGUUGAUAUCAUCAGGAACACCGGAGGCGAAGGCGGCUCACUGGGGCUUUUCUGACGCUGAGGAACGAAAGCCAGGGUAGCGAACGGG